UGAACUCGGGAUGGCCGGGCAGUGAUAGUUGUUCCUUUCCAUCACUCGUUGUGUUGACUUCAUCAUGUCCAUUUUGUGAUGUUUUUUCACUAUAUAAUCAUAUUGCAAGUGCACGUGCAUUUGCAAUAUGUUUCAAUGUGCAUUUACCAUAUGAAAUUUGACAUGCUCAAAAAUGCAAAAUUGACUGGUCUGAUGGACACAGGAUGGCCGAGCAGUGAUAGUUGUACAUUUCCAUCACUCGUUGUGUUGAUUUCAUCAUGUCCAUUAGGUGAUGUUUUUUCACUAUAGAAUCAUAUUGCAAAUGCACGUGCAUUGUUGUGCAACUGGUAACCCAAAAAUAAAAAUAUGGUUGUAAAUGCAUUUACCGGUCAUUCUGAUAUUAAUGCUCGCUAUGGGAACACAGGAUGGCCGGGCAGUGAUAGUUGUACAUUUCCAUCACUCGUUGUGUUGAUUUCAUCAUGUCCAUUAGGUGAUGUUUUUACACUAUAGAAUCAUAUUGCAAGUGCGCGCGCAUUUGCAAUAUGUUUCAAUGUGCAUUUACCAUAUGAAAUUUGACAUGCUCAAAAAUGCAAAAUUGACUGGUCUGAUGGACACAGGAUGGCCGAGCAGUGAUAGUUGUACAUUUCCAUCACUCGUUGUGUUGAUUUCAUCAUGUCCAUUAGGUGAUGUUUUUUCACUAUAGAAUCAUAUUGCAAGUGCACGCGCAUUUGCAAUAUGUUUCAAUGUGCAUUUACCAUAUGAAAUUUGACAUGCUCAAAAAUGCAAAAUUGACUGGUCUGAUGAACACAGGAUGGCUGAGCAGUGACAGUUGUACAUUUCCAUCACCUGUUGUGUUGAUUUCAUCAUGUCCAUUUGUUUAUGUUUUCUCACUUUUGCAAAGUCACUGUGCAUUUGCAAUAUGGUUCAAUGGGCAGGUACCAUCACGAAUUUGUCAUGCUAUAAAAAUCCUGCAGGAAUGUGAAAUUGACUGGUCUGAUGAACACAGGAUGGCCGAGCAGUGAUAGUUGUACAUUUCCAUCACUUGUUGUGUUGAUUUCAUCAUGUCCAUUAGGUGAUGUUUUUACACUAUAGAAUCAUAUUGCAAGUGCGCGCGCAUUUGCAAUAUGUUUCAAUGUGCAUUUACCAUAUGAAAUUUGAAAUGCUCAAAAAUGCAAAAUUGACUGGUCUGAUGGACACAGGAUGGCCGAGCAGUGAUAGUUGUACAUUUCCAUCACUCGUUGUGUUGAUUUCAUCAUGUCCAUUAGGUGAUGUUUUUUCACUAUAGAAUCAUAUUGCAAGUGCGCGCGCAUUUGCAAUAUGUUUCAAUGUGCAUUUACCAUAUGAAAUUUGAAAUGCUCAAAAAUGCAAAAUUGACUGGUCUGAUGGACACAGGAUGGCCGAGCAGUGAUAGUUGUACAUUUCCAUCACUCGUUGUGUUGAUUUCAUCAUGUCC